UUUUCUCACAUUACUGGAAUAUUCUAGAAGGCUGUGCCCCAGUGCAAAAGCAAAUGGCGCAGUAAAAGUAAUUCAAGUGCAAUUUCUCAGUGAAAAGUGUUUUAUAAAUGUAAAAUUUAGUGGCAUAUUAAGCUACGAGGACUUGGAAAAUAGUGUACGCAGUCAACUAACCGAAGAGGAUGGAUUCGAAAAAUUUUAGAUUCAGAGGGAGUUAGAAUCUUGCCGGCAGCAUUUCAAGAAGUCAAAACUCCGUAUUAUAUCAAACAUAUGUCACGAGGAAGAUGCGUCUGGAACCGCUGCCAGUGAAAACAUUCUCGUGGAAAAUCCAAAUGUGAUGCCUACUCUUAUUGCGAAGGAACAAAUUUAUUUUUUUUGGAGCUUUACAAGUACUUUGGAGUUCAAAGAAUUGUUCUAAUCAACGGUGCUGAGCUUUUGAGAAAAACAAGUUCACGAGAAAGAAAGAUGGCAAUUUAAAUAAUUGCUAACCAUCUUCUUCUUUAGCGGCCUCAACCCAACAAAGACGACAAAAUUG